rnacentral:rRNA from 1 species
CUGGGAUUAGAUACCCCACUAUUCUUGGGCGUAAACGUGAACUGAAUCUACCGGAGAACUAUGAACAUUAAGUUUAAAACUCAAAGGACUUGGUCGGUGUUUCAGACCAUUUAGGGGAACCUGUCUCAUAAUCGAUAGUCCACGAGUACACCUAACCUUUCUUUGCUCUUCAGUUUGUAUACCGUCGUCGUCAGGUAACUUUUAAGAAACUCGAGGUUAGCUAAAAAGUUAGAUGUAAACUUAAACGUCAGAUCAAGGUGCAGCCGAUAGAGAGGUGAAGAUGAGUUACAAUUAUUUUACUUAUAAUACGGAAAGCUUGUUUUGAACAAAUAGCUAAGAAGGAGGACUUAAAAGUAAAAUUAAUUAUAUAAAUAUAUUGAAUUAGGCUCUGAAGCGUGCACACACCGCCCGUCACCCUCCUGCAGUCAA